GUCGAGGAUUUUUCUCAAUGGGGGAAACCCUGAAGGAGCGACGCCGCGUGGGGGAUGAAGGUCUUCGGAUUGUAAACCCCUGUCACUUGGGAACAACCCUGUUCACCUAACACGUGAAGAGCUGAUAGUACCAGGAGAGGAAGACGUGGCUAACUCUGUGCCAGCAGCCGCGGUAAUACAGAGACGUCGAGCGUUGUUCGGAUUCAUUGGGCGUAAAGGGUGCGUAGGCGGUGAGGUAAGUUGGAUGUGAAAUCCCAAGGCUUAACCUUGGAAGUGCAUCCAAAACUACCUUGCUUGAGGACUGGAAGGGAGACUGGAAUUCUCGGUGUAGCGGUGAAAUGCGUAGAUAUCGAGAGGAACACCUGUGGCGAAGGCGGGUCUCUGGACAGUUCCUGACGCUGAGGCACGAAAGCCAGGGGAGCAAACGGGAUUAGAAACCCCUGUAGUCC
rnacentral:rRNA from 1 species